AUGCAUGGGACGAUGGUAUCCCGCGCUCUCCUGCUCGUCGGCGUCGCCCUGACGGCGCAGCUGUGCGCGUACACGGCGUACGCCGGCAGUGGCGGCGAUGGGUUUAGCGUGGAGUUCAUCCACCGUGACUCCGUCAGGUCGCCGUUCCACGACCCGACGCUCACCGCGCCCGCCCGCGCGCUGGAGGCCGCGCGGCGGUCCGCUGCCCGCGCCGCGGCGCUCUCGCGCUCCUACGUCCGCGCCGACGCGCCCUCAGCUGACGGCUUCGUGUCCGAGGUCACGUCCAGGACAAGCGAGUACCUGAUGGCAGUGAACAUAGGCACGCCGCCCACUCGUAUGGUCGCCAUCGCCGACACCGGCAGCGACCUCACCUGGCUCAAUUGCAGAUACGGAGGCGACGGUCCUGGUCUGGCGGCCGCCCGUGACGCGGACGCGCAGCCGCCGGGCGUCCAGUUCGACCCCUCCAAAUCGACGACGUUCGGCCUCGUGGACUGUAACUCCGGCACGUGCAGCGAGCUCCCGGAGGACUCCCAUUCCUGCGACGCCAACUCCAAGUGCACGUACAUCUACUCCUACGGCGACGGCUCCCAAACGAGCGGCCUCCUCUCCACAGAGACCUUCACCUUCGCCGACGCCCCGGGCGCCCACGGCGAUGGGACGACGCGCGUGGCCAAAGUCAACUUGGGCUGCUCCACGACCUUCGUCGGCUCGUCCGUCGGGGACGGCAUCGUCGGCCUCGGCGGCGGCGACCUCUCCCUCGUCAGUCAACUCGGCGCAGACACCUCGCUGGGCCGGAGGUUCUCCUACUGCCUCGUGCCCUACUCCGUCAAGGCCUCGUCCGCGCUCAACUUCGGCCCCCGGGCCGCCGUCACGGAUCCGGGAGCGGCGACGACGCCGCUGAUCCCAUCCAGAGUGAAGGCAUACUACAUCGUCGAGCUCCAGUCCCUCAAGGUCGGGAACGCGACCUUCGCGGCGCCGGACCAGUCCCCCGUCCUCGUCGACUCCGGCACGACGCUCACAUUCCUCCCGACGGCGCUUGUAGACCCACUGGUGAAGGAGCUGACCAGGCGGAUCAAGCUCCCUCCGGUGCAGCCGCCAGAGGAGUUCCCCCUGCUGCUGUGCUUCAACGUAAGCGGGGUGCGGGAGGGGCAGGUUGCGGCCAUGAUCCCUGAGGUGACGCUGGGGCUGGGCGGCGGCGCUGCGGUCACGCUGAAGGCGGAGAACACGUUCUUGGAGGUGCAGGAGGGGACUUUAUGCUUGGCGGUGUCUGAUCAGUUUUCUCCUGUGUCCAUCAUCGGAAACAUCGCGCAGCAGAACAUGCACGUUGGGUACGAUCUCGACAAGGGCACCGUGACCUUCGCUCCAGCAGACUGCGCGCGUUCCUACCCCGCCCCCUCAUCCUCCGGCUCUGUGUAG
rnacentral:rRNA from 1 species